AGUUGCGCCUGGGAAUUUCGGGAUGAGAGAGGAUAGUUGAGUUCAUUUUUGGCAGAAAUCCAGAGUUGAAGAAAGUUGUGAUGGCAUUAAUUACUUCAGUUCCCACUACGCUCCAAGCUCCUUUGAAAAAGGCAGAGAUAAGACCAUCAGGUCCUGGUGCUUUAUUAGGAUUUAGAGAGAACAUUAGAUUUGUGAUUUCUGUAGUAGUCGGCAUGAUCAUGAUCCUUCCUUUCUGUGACAGGCUGCAUUGGAAAGGUGUUAACCCUUGGAACCAAUCAGGCCCCAACACUGACUUAAAGUGUUCCACCGCAUGAGUACUCAUUUGUAGUGGAUCAGUUAGGAGAACUCCUGAUUGUAGUAAGAAUGACCUUACUGCAUUGAAGCUCGCCCUCGUUAGGCACACACGUUAGAAAUAGGUAGUGUUUAAGUCUCCCUCCUUAAGCCAGUUGAUUUCACAUUUCUGCCAGAAGUAACACUCUUCGAUAUGUCGUAGGAAUUGCCUCUUCAGAUUUAGUGUUUUUCCUGCUUCAAACGUGUCUGAAGAAGG
rnacentral:lncRNA from 1 species